CUUCCCAUUUAUUUGCUGCUUAGUCUCACAACAAUAUGAGUAGAUAUAUGCAUGGGAUAAAAUAAUACUGGGCCAUUACAAAUUGAGAUGAAAUAACCAUUUUCAUCUCUUUUGCUUGGACCAGACGUUC
ensembl:snoRNA